CUUAAUUCUGCCAUUAAAGAGAAUUAAAUAAACUUUCUUAUUCUUGCCCAACCAUAGCAGCAUUCAACCUGUGUGUAAUACCCAGGCUAUCAUCACCACCGGGAGCUAAUAUUGAACUGAAGAUGAGGAUUUAGGGAAGGGGGUUGUGCUUAUAAUUCUUACUUGGUUUCCUGUUCUGUUUGAGGAAUGAGCUAACCCAGAGAUAAAUGGUGCUAUGGUAAGCCAGGAAAUCCAUAACAUGGCUAAUGGGAAAAAAUAACUGCAUGCCUCUCAGCUAAAGUAAUAAAGGACAAGAGGAUUCAAACCUUACUUGCCAUUCCCUGCAGUCUCGAAUUGUCUGGGUUGAUUGCAGCUAUGGUCUGGUUA